rnacentral:snRNA from 1 species
GCAUUUACCUGGCCGGGGAGUACCAUGGUCACAAAGUUUUUCCAGGGCAAGGCUUAUCCAUUGCAAUUGGAUGUACUGACCGCUGUGAUUUCCCCACAUGUAGAAAACUCAACCACAUACUAGGUGCUAGUGGGGAACUGCAUUUGCACUUAUCCCUG